rnacentral:rRNA from 1 species
AGAGUUUGAUCCUGGCUCAGAAUCAACGCUGGCGGCGUGCCUAACACAUGCAAGUCGCACGAGAAAGGGUAGCAAUACCUGAGUACAGUGGCGCACGGGUGAGUAACACGUGAAUUAUCUACCUCCGAGUGGGGAAUAACUGAGAGAAAUCUUAGCUAAUACCGCAUAACACUUACGAGUCAAAGCAGCAAUGCGCUUGGAGAGGAGUUCGCGGCCGAUUAGUUAGUUGGCGGGGUAAUGGCCCACCAAGACGAUGAUCGGUAUCCGGCCUGAGAGGGCGCACGGACACACUGGAACUGAAACACGGUCCAGACUCCUACGGGAGGCAGCAGUGGGGAAUUUUGCGCAAUGGGGGAAACCCUGACGCAGCAACGCCGCGUGGAGGAUGAAAUAUCUUGGUAUGUAAACUCCUUUCGAUGGGGAAGAUUAUGACGGUACCCAUAGAAGAAGCCCCGGCUAACUUCGUGCCAGCAGCCGCGGUAAUACGAGGGGGGCAAGCGUUGUUCGGAUUUAUUGGGCGUAAAGGGUGCGUAGGCGGUUUGGCAAGUCUUAUGUGAAAUCUUCGGGCUCAACCCGAAGCCUGCAUAAGAAACUGCCGGGCUUGAGUAUGGGAGAGGUGAGUGGAAUUUCCGGUGUAGCGGUGAAAUGCGUAGAUAUCGGAAGGAACACCUGUGGCGAAAGCGGCUCACUGGACCAUAACUGACGCUGAUGCACGAAAGCUAGGGGAGCAAACAGGAUUAGAUACCCUGGUAGUCCUAGCCCUAAACGAUGAUUGCUUGGUGUGGCAGGUACCCAAUCCUGCCGUGCCGAAGCUAACGCGAUAAGCAAUCCGCCUGGGGAGUACGGUCGCAAGGCUGAAACUCAAAGGAAUUGACGG